rnacentral:rRNA from 1 species
GAUGAACGCUGGCGGCGUGCCUAAUACAUGCAAGUCGAGCGAACAGACGAGGAGCUUGCUCCUCUGACGUUAGCGGCGGACGGGUGAGUAACACGUGGAUAACCUACCUAUAAGACUGGGAUAACUUCGGGAAACCGGAGCUAAUACCGGAUAAUAUAUUGAACCGCAUGGUUCAAUAGUGAAAGACGGUUUUGCUGUCACUUAUAGAUGGAUCCGCGCCGCAUUAGCUAGUUGGUAAGGUAACGGCUUACCACGGCAACGAUGCGUAGCCGACCUGAGAGGGUGAUCGGCCACACUGGAACUGAGACACGGUCCAGAGUCCUACGGGAGGCAGCAGUAGGGAAUCUUCCGCAAUGGGCGAAAGCCUGACGGAGCAACGCCGCGUGAGUGAUGAAGGUCUUCGGAUCGUAAAACUCUGUUAUUAGGGAAGAACAAAUGUGUAAGUAACUAUGCACGUCUUGACGGUACCUAAUCAGAAAGCCACGGCUAACUACGUG